rnacentral:tRNA from 1 species
GCCCUUGUAGCUCAGCGGUAGAGCACUCCCUUGGUAAGGGAGAGGUCUCGGGUUCAAGUCCCUACGAGGGCA